CCGAUAUUCAAUCCCCGAGGCAUUCCUCUAUUCCAACUUUGCCAAAAGCCGGCCUCGGGUCAUAAAAUUCGUUUCCGUUCAAAGGAUUUAAUUAAGCAACAAUCGAAAAAUGCAAGAUGUUUGGGGCGAGCGGGAACGACCGACGCCGAUGUGUUUGGAGGCACAGAGCGUCGUUUCAACCCCGCAUCAGUUGCACCGACGACGCCGAUGCUCGAGCAGUGCUCCAGAAGUGCUCAUGCGUGCGUAAUGCUCACGUUUAGUACACGAGUGUGAUUUCUAGGGGACAUGGCUGAGAUAUUCAUUGCGAGGUCAGCUGAGAUUUCGUAACAAUGCGAAAGAUAUGCACGUUCUGGAAUAUCUGGAGAUAGUGCUGACGGCAGUCAUCGGGAGCAUCAUCAUCAUAGCGCUGUUCCUGUGCUAUGCUCAUGUGUUCCGACACAUCUGCUGUCCACCACGUCCCAAGAAAAACAACCAACGACAGAAAACAAGGCGAGAAUCGAUCUCGCUUAAAUACAUCAUGCACAUUUCGAAUCAACAAACAGAAACGAGCGUUGUGUAACGCCGCUAAAAAUAAGCCGACUUUUUUUAAGCUCUGUGUAAAUAAAUGUGAGUUUUGUUACUGAUUUUUAUUGGUUUUAAAAUAAAUAUUUUUCGCAAUUAA